UAUUUGUUCUUCGUAAAUUAAUCGUUUUGCACUUCUCAUUUGUAAAAACAUUGUCUUCGGCGAAGAAGAGUGCUGUAAACCUUUUCCUAAUGAGUGGUGCCCGUCAAAAUUUCGCAUACUAGACGUUGAAAAUUUCAAAUAAUCGGUCGAAUACGGUUAUCUACGUCUUAAUCUACUUGAGAUUACAUUGUAACAAAGCGAAAGUCACAGAAACUGAUGAUCGCCUGCAACAAAAUACGGCUUACAUUUCUUCAUCAAGAUGUAAGAUGGAGAUUCGCCAUGUUCUCAAAAAAUCACCCAAGAAGAAUAUAGAGUGCAGAAAAUUAAGUUAAUAUAUGUGCUGAGGUAUAGAUAGAAUCAUCGUUUCUACAAAGCCUAAUCAGUAAAAAAUAUCCUAGGAAAAAGUAUUAGUACAUUACCAACUUUAACGAAUCAAUUUUGCAAAAGGUGGUAUUGUAACUUAUUGCAAGAAAGACACAAUGAAAAAACUCUUAGUUUUGCCGCAGCGAUCAAACGAUAAUGGAACAAUCAGACAAAUGCACAGUGAAACAGGCACGUCACAGAAUAGUGUUCAACGGAACUUAAGCUACCCACAACGUGAAGAUAAGACACGACUUGGCCUCUGAAGGAAAGAAAAUACGAUUGCAAUCAGAUUCAAACUGUAUAAAAAAGUGUGCAGGGCUCUCUGUGUAAAAAGGUGAAUUGUGCAAAAUUGAUCACACAUUGUGAUGGACCUAACCUAUCAUUGGUGCUAGAGAAACAGUUCUGGCAAUCGUUUAGACACCGUCCGGUCUGUCUGCACGGGCUGGCCGGUAGACUGGCUAACGAGAGCCACUCAACAACACGAACAUUCCGGCAGUUCUGGUUUUGGGCGAGCUAUCGAACGCACAAGCGCACAGAGCAAUGUAUGUUUCUGGGUUAAGCAGAGUUCCCGGAACGGCGAGUAAGAAAAUGGUAACUCAGAUCAGAACUAAUUGCCGUGAUGGGCUAUCAAGUCCCACACACUGGAACAUAUUGACCGUUUAUGCAUUUUUAUCUUUCCUCUUUGAGUCGACUAGCGAUCAUCGCUCUGCUUUCUUUGGAGUGGAUAAGCAUUGCUUCUCAGGCGAUAUGUCACAGUCAUGGUGAUGUUUCAACCAUGCAACUGAGCAACUAGUUAUUUAUAGAGCUGUUGUCUGAAGCUAGAGCUUUAUCUUCUGUGUUAUAUAGUGCAAUAUGAUAGGUUUGAACAAAAUAAACUCAGUUAAUCUAACUUUCCUAUUUUAAAAAACAAUAUAUUUCAUGUGCUGUGUAACUAUCCUCAAGGUUAAUAUUCUACCUCUCUUCACAUAUGUUGUACCGUCAUUACAACAGUAUCAUUCUAAAGGGUACAUAAUAUAUGUAGCGAACCAUUUAUAUUCUACAAGUUAAACACAAAUUUCCGAAAUGAGAUGAAACUUUGUGCACGCGAGUGAUUAUCUCCAACUACAAACCCAGACAAAUUUGUUCAAUUUAUUUUACUUGCUAGGAAUGUGGAUUACAUCUAUUUCUAGUCGAAAC